GUAGAACCGUAAUGCCAUUAAUUUUGGUGUUGCGGGGAAACAGGACUGUUACUUUGAAAAAAUUAGAGUGUUUAAAGCAGGCCAACGCCUGAAUACAUUAGCAUGGAAUAAUGAAAUAGGACGUUCGAACCUAUUUUGUUGGUUUCUAGGAUUGACGUAAUGAUUAAUAGGGAUAGUUGGGGGCAUUAGUAUUCAAUUGUCAGAGGUGAAAUUCUUGGAUUUAUUGAAGACUGACUACUGCGAAAGCAUUUGCCAAGGAUGUUUUCAUUAAUCAAGAACGAAAGUUAGGGGAUCGAAGACGAUCAGAUACCGUCGUAGUCUUAACCAUAAACUAUGCCGACUAGGGAUCGGAUGAUGUUAAUUUUUUAAUGACUCAUUCGGCGCUUACG
rnacentral:rRNA from 1 species